GACGAACGCUGGCGGCGUGCUUAACACAUGCAAGUCGAACGGAAAGGCCCUGCUUUUGUGGGGUGCUCGAGUGGCGAACGGGUGAGUAACACGUGAGUAACCUGCCCUUGACUUUGGGAUAACUUCAGGAAACUGGGGCUAAUACCGGAUAUGAGCUCCUGCUGCAUGGUGGGGGUUGGAAAGUUUCGGCGGUUGGGGAUGGACUCGCGGCUUAUCAGCUUGUUGGUGGGGUAGUGGCUUACCAAGGCUUUGACGGGUAGCCGGCCUGAGAGGGGGACCGGCCACAUUGGGACGGAGAUAAGGCCCAGACUCCGACGGGAGGCAGCAGUGGGGAAUAGUGCACAAUGGGCGGAAGCCUGAGGCAGCAACGCCGCGUGCGGGAUGACGGCCUUCGGGUUGUAAACCGCUUUCGCCUGUGACGAAGCGGGAGUGACGGUAAUGGGUAAAGAAGCACCGGCUAACUACGUG
rnacentral:rRNA from 1 species